rnacentral:rRNA from 1 species
GUGGAUUAGAUACCCGGGUAGUCCACGCCCUAAACGAUGCGAACUGGAUGUUGGGUGCAACUAGGCACUCAGUAUCGAAGCUAACGCGUUAAGUUCGCCGCCUGGGGAGUACGGUCGCAAGACUGAAACUCAAAGGAAUUGACGGGGGCCCGCACAAGCGGUGGAGUAUGUGGUUUAAUUCGAUGCAACGCGAAGAACCUUACCUGGCCUUGACAUGCACGGAACUUUCCAGAGAUGGAUUGGUGCCUUCGGGAACCGUGACACAGGUGCUGAACGGCCGUCGCCAACU